rnacentral:rRNA from 1 species
UACGUAGGGGGCAAGCGUUGUCCGGAAUCAUUGGGCGUAAAGCGCGUGUAGGCGGCCAGGUAAGUCCGUUCUGAAAGCCCGGGGCUCAACCCCGGGAGGCGGAUGGAUACUGCUUGGCUCGAGUCCGGAAGAGGUAAGUGGAAUUCCCGGUGUAGCGGUGAAAUGCGCAGAUAUCGGGAGGAACACCAAUGGCGAAGGCAGCUCACUGGGACGGUACUGACGCUGAGACGCGAAAGCGUGGGGAGCAAACAGG